UACGUAGGGGCCCAGCGUUGUCCGGAUUCAUUGGGCGUAAAGCGCGCGCAGGCGGCCCGGUGUGCCGCCCGUGAAAUCCCCCGGCUCAACCGGGGGGGGUCGGGCGAGACUGUCGGGCUGGAGGCGGGGAGGGGGCAGCGGAAUUCCCGGUGUAGUGGUGGAAUGCGUAGAUAUCGGGAGGAACACCAGUGGCGAAGGCGGCUGCCUGGACCGGGCCUGACGCUGAGGCGCGAAAGCGUGGGGAGCAAACCGG
rnacentral:rRNA from 1 species